UACGAAAGGGGGCUAGCGUUGUUCGGAUUUACUGGGCGUAAAGCGCACGUAGGCGGAUCGAUCAGUCAGGGGUGAAAUCCCAGAGCUCAACUCUGGAACUGCCUUUGAUACUGUCGAUCUGGAGUAUGGAAGAGGUGAGUGGAAUUCCGAGUGUAGAGGUGAAAUUCGUAGAUAUUCGGAGGAACACCAGUGGCGAAGGCGGCUCACUGGUCCAUUACUGACGCUGAGGUGCGAAAGCGUGGGGAGCAAACAGG
rnacentral:rRNA from 1 species